rnacentral:rRNA from 1 species
GUGGGGAAUUUUGGACAAUGGGCGCAAGCCUGAUCCAGCAAUGCCGCGUGCAGGAAGAAGGCCUUCGGGUUGUAAACUGCUUUUGUACGGAACGAAACGGUCCUGGUUAAUACCCGGGGCUAAUGACGGUACCGUAAGAAUAAGCACCGGCUAACUACGUGCCAGCAGCCGCGGUAAUACGUAGGGUGCAAGCGUUAAUCGGAAUUACUGGGCGUAAAGCGUGCGCAGGCGGUGCUGUAAGACAGGCGUGAAAUCCCCGGGCUUAACCUGGGAAUUGCGCUUGUGACUGCAGUGCUGGAGUGCGGCAGAGGGGGAUGGAAUUCCGCGUGUAGCAGUGAAAUGCGUAGAUAUGCGGAGGAACACCGAUGGCGAAGGCAAUCCCCUGGGCCUGCACUGACGCUCAUGCACGAAAGCGUGGGGAGCAAACAGGAUUAGAUACCCCAGUAGUCC